AUCAAACUUCUGAAUUUUUUUUUUAUUUGAAUGAUAAAUUCAAAUUGCAAAUGAAUGAUAAAUUCAAUUUUUCAUCAUAAUUUGUGUAUGUAUGUCACACAUUAGCAACUCAGUUGCUUUCUGGAAUAUGUUGAAGAUUGAACCGAACCCAUUCCCCACAACAAGUGAAUGACAUCAAGAAGUAUUAGGCAUAAGCAAGC
rnacentral:lncRNA from 1 species